UACAGAGGUCCCAAGCGUUGUUCGGAUUCACUGGGCGUAAAGGGUGCGUAGGUGGCGGAGUAAGUCGGAUGUGAAAUCUCCGGGCUCAACCCGGAAAAUGCAUUGGAAACUGCUUUGCUCGAGGGUUGGAAGGGGGACUGGAAUGCUUGGUGUAGCAGUGAAAUGCGUAGAUAUCAAGCGGAACACCAGUGGCGAAGGCGAGUCCCUGGACAACUCCUGACACUGAGGCACGAAAGCUAGGGGAGCAAACAGG
rnacentral:rRNA from 1 species